GAAGUGUAUUACUUAAUUAAUUACCUGAUUUUUGUGGGUUUUGGAUUAGAUCAAGAAGAGGACUGUAGACGUCAAGAUAGAAUAUUUUGGCUUCAGACAGGCUGUUGUUAAGGGCGCUAAGCUCAGAUGAUAAUUUGGAAUUGAAAAUUUGUGCUGCUUGGUUGACUGUCUCUGCACACAGAAUCCCUCCCACUGUAGCUCUUGCUGCUGGU
rnacentral:misc_RNA from 1 species